CGUCAACGCAGGGAGGAUCAUCCUAUGGGACUUACACAUUCGUUGAAUGUCCUCAUGAUCAGUGCAGCGUUCGCGUUUGUGGCCGUUAUGCUCUUCGUCUGAUGCAGGGCCGCUGAAAGUCCAAAAAAGGAAGAGGGACUUAAGUUUCCGGAAAUAGAAUCGCAGCAAAU
rnacentral:sRNA from 1 species